UACGGGGGGGGUAAGCGUUGUUCGGAAUUACUGGGCGUAAAGCGUGCGUAGGCGGUUCGCUGUGUCCGAUGUGAAAGCCCCGGGCUUAACCUGGGAAUGGCAUUGGAAACUGGCGGGCUUGAGUGCGGCAGAGGGGGGUGGAAUUCCGCGUGUAGCAGUGAAAUGCGUAGAGAUGCGGAGGAACACCGAUGGCGAAGGCAGCCCCCUGGGUCGACACUGACGCUCAGGCACGAAAGCGUGGGGAGCAAACAGG
rnacentral:rRNA from 1 species